UAUUUCCCUGACUUUUUUUUUUUGGGUAGAUCCUGAUUACUUUUAGGGUUUUUAUUAUGCUGCCAUGGCCUUUCCUUUUUAUCUCGUUUAACUCAUUAUUUGUUGCUUCGUAUUUCUUUUGCUUUGUCACUUCUUGCUUUCUACUGUUAAUCGAAGCUCGAUCCUGUUGCUAUUGCUGUAAGUCUAGGUAAAAGAUUGGAUUUUCUCCAUAGCUGUUUACUGCUAGUAUUUUCAAGCUUCCUGUUAGUGAUUUAUUUGGUAAAUAUUGCUUUCCUGAUCUUGUUAGUUCUUGAUUUGAACAGUAAAAUUUCGUGACUUCGAUGGAAAUAGACGAAGAUUUUGUUUUUCUUUUCUUCUUUUUAGACUGGAAAUGGUUGUGGACUGUGAUGAUCUAUCAUAAUAAUGAAGAGUAGAGCUAGAAUUCCCAGUGAUGGCCUCUGGAGCUGCUGUUUGGUUGCGUUGAUGUGAGUUCCAAACCGGGAAUCAUGGCCUGUAGGGAAUCCUUCGACGUCAGCAUGCACAAGUGUCCGGGGCAAUCCCCACGAGGUGGAUUCAGUGCAGGAGGACCUGAUGGAAUGUCCUCGGCGAUGCCUGCACAUGUUCUAAACAUCAAUAUGGAGGAGCCUGUGAAACGAAAGCGCAGGGAAAUAUGGUCCUGAUGGUUCAAUGGCCCUUGCCCUGACCCCUGUACCGACUGCCGCUCCGUUGCUGCCCGGAUCUGGUGGAUUCUCACACUCUACAGAGGCUACUAACACCGUGACAUCGGUCUCAGCAGAUACUAUAAAGAAAGCAAGGGGCCUGCCAAAAGGUUUUGGCAAGAAGCUGCAGAUGCUUGCUCUGGGAUCAGCAGGGGUUGGGUUUACUCCUCAUGUGAUUACAGUAAAGACUGGAGAGGAUGUAUCAUCCAAAAUCAUGUCCUUUUCUUAGAAUGGACGACGUGCCAUAUGUGUCCUUUCGGCAAAUGGUGCUAUAUCAAAUGUAACUCUUUGUCGGGCAUCAACAUCCGGUGGAUCUGUAACUUAUGAGG